rnacentral:rRNA from 1 species
UAAACCAGUGGGCGGGUGCUAUACAUGCAAGUCGAGCGAACAGAUGAGAAGCUUGCUUCUCUGAUGUUAGCGGCGGACGGGUGAGUAACACGUGGGUAACCUACCUAUAAGACUGGGAUAACUCCGGGAAACCGGGGCUAAUACCGGAUAAUAUUUUGAACCGCAUGGUUCAAUAGUGAAAGACGGUUUCGGCUGUCACUUAUAGAUGGACCCGCGCCGUAUUAGCUAGUUGGUAAGGUAACGGCUUACCAAGGCGACGAUACGUAGCCGACCUGAGAGGGUGAUCGGCCACACUGGAACUGAGACACGGUCCAGACUCCUACGGGAGGCAGCAGUAGGGAAUCUUCCGCAAUGGGCGAAAGCGUGACGGAGCAACGCCGCGGUGGAGUGAUGAAUGUCGUCGGAUCGUAAAACUCUGUUGUUAGGGAAGAACAAAUUUGUUAGUAACUGAACAAGUCUUGACGGUACCUAACCAGAAAGCCACGGGCUAACUACGUGCCAGCAGCCGCGGUAAUACGUAGGUGGCAAGCGUUAUCCGGGAAUUAUUGGGCGUAAAGCGCGCGUAGGCGGUUUCUUAAGUCUGAUGUGAAAGCCCACGGCUCAACCGUGGAGGGUCAUUGGAAACUGGGAAACUUGAGUGCAGAAGAGGAGAGUGGAAUUCCAUGUGUAGCGGUGAAAUGCGCAGAGAUAUGGAGGAACACCAGUGGCGAAGGCGGCUCUCUGGUCUGUAACUGACGCUGAUGUGCGAAAGCGUGGGGAUCAAACAGGAUUAGAUACCCUGGUAGUCCACGCCGUAAACGAUGAGUGCUAAGUGUUAGGGGGUUUCCGCCCCUUAGUGCUGCAGCUAACGCAUUAAGCACUCCGCCUGGGGAGUACGACCGCAAGGUUGAAACUCAAAGGAAUUUGACGGGGACCCCGCCACAAGCGGUGGGAGCAUGUGGUUUAAAUUCGAAGCAACGCGAAGAACCUUACCCAAAUCUUGACAUCCUUUGACCGCCUCUAGAAGAAUAGAGUCUUGCCCUUUCAGGGGGACAAAGUGACAGUUGGUGCAUGUAUUGUCGUCAGCUCGUGUUCGUGAGAUGUUGGGGUAAGUUCCCGCAACCGAGCCGCAACACUCUUUAAGCCUUUAGAUGUGCCAUUCAAUUAAGUUGGGCACUCUAGGUUGACUGCCGGUGACAAACCGGAGGAAGGUGGGGAUGACGUCAAAUCAUCAUGCCCCUUAUGAUUUGGGCUACACACGUGCUACAAUGGAUAAUACAAAGGGCAGCGAAUCCGCGAGGCCAAGCAAAUCCCAUAAAAUUAUUCUCAGUUCGGAUUGUAGUCUGCAACUCGACUACAUGAAGCUGGAAUCGCUAGUAAUCGUAGAUCAGCAUGCUACGGUGAAUACGUUCCCGGGUCUUGUACACACCGCCCGUCACACCACGAGAGUUUGUAACACCCGAAGCCGGUGGAGUAACCUUUUAGGAGCUAGCCGUCGAAGUGACCAAAUGGU